AAUAUAAUGAAGGCGCCAGAACCCGGCAUUCCAGCCAUGGGAUGUGGAAGAGUGAUUUAUAUCUACCGGGUUGACGAGGGGGGAGUUUAUCGAAAUAUUCGGCGGGUGCUCCCCGGUGUAGCCAUCACCGUGACCGGUUUACAAAACCGCUGGGCAACCGGCGGGACAAAAAGCACCGGAUUGGCGAGA
rnacentral:ncRNA from 2 species